rnacentral:misc_RNA from 1 species
GUGCUUUUAUAUAUAUAUACAUAACCACUUAUAAUUACACAUUUGUUUAUCAAAGAAACAAUCCGCAGAGUUAAAUUCUCAGUCAUUGUGAGCAUUUUUGCCUUCUCCUUGAUCUGAGAGCUGGUGGGCACAGAAAGGAAACAAGCAAAUGUGUGAGUAUUAACAGGUGCAUGUCGCAAGUGACAACCACAAGUCAUAAGAGUUUGCAGAAGUAGGAAGAACUGACACACAGAAAAACCAAGAAGUAGGGCAGAAAAUACAAAAAGAAAAAAGAAAAAAAAACCAUAAACUCAAAAACUACUAAAAACAAUUAACUCCUAGUUCUCUAAAAGCUAAUAACAUUAACACAAACAAAAUUACCAAUGACAAAAAAUGCCACACUGAAUAGUCACUGAAUUAAUACGAAAAAUCAAAAACCCAGAAAACAAAAAAUCUAAUAACAUUUAACGAGGUAAGAAACUGAUUCACUAACACUCAAAAUUAAAACAACAGAUAUCCACUGCUCAAUACCACCAAAAACAACACCAUAAAUAACACAUUCCAAAUAAAAAUAACUGGAAAAAAAAUAGAAACCAUAAAUCCACGAUAAACAAGCACAUAGAAAAAACAAUAACUCGCUGAAACAUUAACACCACGAAAGAAACCAACCCAUAACCGAAACUGGAUUGAAACACCAGCAAAACGACCAAAAAAAUAAAUCUCUCACCGUUCUACCGUCGAUGGUAUGC